AAGAAAAAUUCAAAUACAAACUCUGUCAGUAUAUAAUUGUGAGAUGGUAUUUAACCUCUUUAAGCCUCAACUUCUUCACCUGUAACCUAGAGAUGAUAAUACUUUUCUCCCCUAGAGAAUUGCUCUGAGGAAUGAAUAAGAUGAUAUCAAAAGGCUCCCAGCAUAGGAUGUGAUACAUCCUUCUGUCUUAUCAACUUGAAUAUUCAAGGGACUCUGUGGUCCAGUGGCUAAGACUCCAGCCUCCCAAUGCAGGGCACCUGGGACCUGGGUUUGAUUCCUGAUCAGGGAACUAGAUACCACAUGCCACAAGUAAUAUAAAUGGAACCAGAGAUCAAAUUGCCAACAUCUGCUGGAUCAUCGAAAAAGCAAGAGAGUUCCAGAAAAACAUCUAUUUCUGCUUUAUUGACUAUGCCAAAGCCUUUGACUGUGUGGAUCACAAUAAACUGUGGAAAAUUCUGAAAGAGAUGGGAAUAACAGACCACCUGACCUGCCCCUUGAGAAACCUGUAUGCAGGUCAGGAAGCAACAGUUAGAACUGGACAUGGAACAACAGACUGGUUCCAAAUAGGAAAAGGAGUAUGUCAAGGGUGUAUACUGUCACCCUGCUUAUUUAACUUAUAUGCAGAGUACAUCAUGAGAAAUGCUGGGCUGGAUGAAGCACAAGCUGGAGUCAAGAUUGCCGGGAGAAAUAUCAAUAACCUCAGAUAAGCAGAUGACACCACCCUUAUGGCAGAAAGUAAAGAA
ensembl:lncRNA